rnacentral:tRNA from 1 species
UUGAUUGUGGCGAAAUUGGUAGACGCGGUAAAUUUAGGCUUUAUUUUCUAUAGGUUCGACUCCUAUCAAUCAAA